rnacentral:tRNA from 1 species
UCCGGGGUAGCUCAAUGGUAGAGCAGGAAGCUGUUAACUUCAAGGUUGUGGGUUCGAAU